ACUGGAGGAGUGAAAAGAUGCGCAGCAAGCAUUUUAUUUGUGGACGGAAAUGACAGGAAAAGUGGGUUUAGGUUUAGAGGUGGCGAGCGCAUGAAGUGGAAUGAGAGACAAAUAUGUCAGUGUAAAAAAAAUCUCUUAAAUACAAAAAACACAAUAUAAACACACUAUCUUGGACCGAUACAUGACAGGAUACCACAGAACAGCGCUACGCCCUCUGUUGCCCUGCAGGGCAAUUGCUUUGCAACACUCUCCAGGAGACGGAGAAGUAUGAGCGCAAAACGCUUCCGUCAAUCCGUGCGUGUCUGUCCCUUGCAGAGCUGACGGAGAAGCAUAAACCAGGCUUUAUUAAAGGCACAGUCCGUAAGAUGACACCGUCAGGGUGAGGAGGAGGAGAUUUUUAAAUUCGAACGGCUGUUGCUCACUCCCCCGCCCUUCCUGAAAGAGCCGAAAGCCAUGCCUCCUAAUGUGCACGCGCGGGAAAAGCCGAGUCAACACUAGAGCAUUGCUUCUUCAUAAUAGAGCUGAGCUAGUGUUAGCAAUGGAGAUAUCUGAGGCAAGACAGUUGUUUUUAACCAGCACAUCAAACACUUAUUACAAAAGGCAUUUUAUAAAGAAUAUCUAUAAAUAUAUACAUAUUUUAAAAUACCAGUAACAGUUGACAAUCUAUAUUGUAAAUAAAAUGAAUCCUAUCAAAUUGUUAGCAUUUUAUUACAAGUAACUAGCUUAUUUUUAAUUGCUUUGCCAUUCAAGAUGGGAUGAAUAUAUCAAAGAAUAUAAAUAAUUUAUGUAGAAAUCAUGAAUAAACACUGCAUUCUGUGUAGUCCUCCUAUAAUCAUGGUUGUUUUCAUAGGGUUUCUGUUUAUUGUUGGUUUAGCCCAAAUUUUGACUAGAUGUAAACCUGAUCUGUGUCAAAAUUGAUUAAUGUGCAAGAGUAAUUUUUAUAUUAGUAUAAUUUUUUUACUCUAAUACAAAUUAGAGUUCAGUGAUUGAGGAAUCCUCUGAGGAAGAGUUUGAACCUCCUAUUGCAUCCUCAAGACGUGGUGCAAAAAGGAGAUGCCCACCAUCAUCUCAAAGCCGUGGUGCAUCCAGAGGCCGUGGUGCGUCUAGAGGCCGCGGUGCAUCCAGACGCCGAAGAAGUGCGAGACACUCAGCUGUGGACCUUGGAGAUGAAGAUCUCUCUCUCGAGAGCGAAUAGACUUUGAACGUCAACACAUACAGAACCUGAACCCUCAGCAGGCUAUUGACGUCCUUACCAUGGUGCUGGACAGAGACCUUGGUGUUCACUUUGAUGUACUUGCCCUCUCUGGUCCACCUGCCACAACACCUCCAACAUCCAAUCAACCUUCAUGGUGUGUAUGCUGCCACUGCAGAGAUGCCAACUGAUUUGGAAAAGAAAUGCUGCCAACAGCCUCCCCAGACAUUUAUUUCAACUGUACCACACAUGGAGGAGUUUAUUCUGCAAAAUGGUGUUCUUUGCCUGGCCAGAACAUUGUGGAAUGAGUUUCGAGCAGUUUAUGAUGACCCGGACCCUGGUGAGGACAACAGACAGUUCCGCCAUGCAGCUUACAGACAAUUUGUAGCAUGGCAGCAUGGAAAACUUGGUGGAGGGCGCAGAGUAGUAAUCCCAAGCUGUGUUGUCUGGAGGAUAAGGGGAAAAUUCCCUGACCCCAAUGGUAACUACACUGGUUUUAUUCCAAGAUGAUUGUAAAUAAAUGUAUAUAUUUAAUAUUUUACAUCAGUUUGUUUUUUAUAUAGUUUUGUUUGAUGCUCUAAUAAAGUGUUCUAAAGCAUAACUCUGUGUUGCAUUUGUAAAAAUACCAUAAAUUUUAAACUCCUGCACAACAACAAAAACUUAAGUCUACCUCCAGCAUUUUACAUUCAUUUUUAAAUUAUUAGUCCUUAUUUUCCCAAAAUAUAUCUUUAUUUUCAACAAAAAAAAAAAAAAAAAAAAAAAACA